rnacentral:rRNA from 1 species
GACGAACGCUGGCGGCGUGCCUAAUACAUGCAAGUCGAACGCACUCUCGUUUAGAUUGAAGGAGCUUGCUCCUGAUUGAUAAACAUUUGAGUGAGUGGCGGACGGGUGAGUAACACGUGGGUAACCUGCCCUAAAGCGGGGGAUAACAUUUGGAAACAGAUGCUAAUACCGCAUAAAACCUAACACCGCAUGGUGUAGGGUUGAAAGAUGGUUUCGGCUAUCACUUUAGGAUGGACCCGCGGUGCAUUAGUUAGUUGGUGAGGUAAAGGCUCACCAAGACCGUGAUGCAUAGCCGACCUGAGAGGGUAAUCGGCCACACUGGGACUGAGACACGGCCCAGACUCCUACGGGAGGCAGCAGUAGGGAAUCUUCCACAAUGGACGAAAGUCUGAUGGAGCAACGCCGCGUGAGUGAAGAAGGUUUUCGGAUCGUAAAACUCUGUUGUUGGAGAAGAAUGUAUCUGAUAGUAACUGAUCAGGUAGUGACGGUAUCCAACCAGAAAGCC